GGUCGAUUAGCUUAGUUGGUAGAGCGUGGUACUAAUAAUGCCAAGGUCAUGGGUUCGAUCCCCAUAUUGACCA
rnacentral:tRNA from 1 species